AUACGGAGGGGGCUAGCGUUGUUCGGAAUUACUGGGCGUAAAGGGCGCGUAGGCGGACUAUCAAGUCAGGGGUGAAAGGCCUGGGCUCAACCCGGGAACUGCCUUUGAAACUGAAAGUCUGGAGUCCGAGAGAGGAUAGCGGAAUUCCCAGUGUAGAGGUGAAAUUCGUAGAUAUUGGGAAGAACACCAGUGGCGAGGGCGGCUAUCUGGAUCGGUACUGACGCUGAGGCGCGAAAGCGUGGGGAGCAAACAGGAUUAGAAACCCCAGUAGUCC
rnacentral:rRNA from 1 species